rnacentral:lncRNA from 1 species
CCAUAUGACUUUUUUAAAAAACCAUAUGAUUUUUUUAAAAAACAAGGUUCUAGAUUAUAACAAUGAAAAGAGUGCAUUUCCUGGGCUACUUAUUCAGUAUAGUGAGCACUUUUCACCUUAUGUAUCCAAUUCCUUAUUUCAGACUUGCAGGCUCCUGUGGGAGCUGGUCCCACCCUUCUUCAAUUCAGCACCACAUGACCAAGGAUUAAUGUUUUCAUUCACUCUGCCUUUUCUUACAUUCCUCAACCAUGUAAAAAUCUCUUCCAGCUUAGUGCCUUUGAUCUAUGUAUGCAUCAGAAAUCUUGGAUCUCACUUCAGAUCCCUUCUGCCCUGCCUUCUACUCCAGCUGCUACUGUGGCCACUACUUCUAUGAAGUCUUUGACCAGGUUCUCAGAAUGUAAUAGCUAGCGCUUCCCUUUGGAUUCUGCUACAUGCCUUUUGCUUUGGCUUCACUGUUGUCAAAUGCCUAAUUUUAUAACACAGAAGUACAAGGGAGUUAGUUGCCCAUGGGACACCCUUGACCAACAAUGGAAAGUUGCCGAUGGAUGAUUCCUCCUCUCGUUCCCUGGGUAGAUGAUUCUGAAACACAUUUCAUAAAGCUCCUCAGAAGAUCCUACAGAAUCAACUACCAGUUGCCUAUGGCCAAUUUUGGAAUGAACAUUCUUAUGUUGUCUUUCCUCUUUGGUUUUACUCUC